UUCCCGUAAAGGUAAUGAUUAGAGGAAGGGGAGCAGGUGCUUUGGGAAAGUUUUAUUUAACAUCUAUUUCUACUAUCCCUAAGUGAACUGAUUUGUCCCAGCUCCUAAGUUAUGAAACAGUAAUUAAUUCUAAUAAGACACAUCAGUUAUGAAAAUAGGUAUUAAAAAUUUUAAACAUGUGUUUGUCAUGAAACAGGCAUUUAAAAGAAGAUGAGCUUGGGGCAUCUUGCAGUGUCAGAAAGUAAAAAAGUGCUCAAAAACAAAACAAAACAAAACCAGACACACAGUGAUGGGGAUGUGUGAAAAGGACACAUGAACACCCAGUGGCCAAAGCAAUUUGAGCAACAAAAUAAAGUAUUAUUACAUUGUAACCCAAAGUCCAGGAGUCCAUACUAAAUGAUUGAAUAGGCUGUGCAUGGUGGCUCACGCCUGUAAUCCCAGCAUUUU
rnacentral:lncRNA from 10 species